rnacentral:rRNA from 1 species
CCUACGGGUGGCAGCAGUAGGGAAUAUUGCACAAUGGGGGAAACCCUGAUGCAGCGACGCCGCGUGAGCGAAGAAGUAUUUCGGUAUGUAAAGCCCUAUCAGCAGGGGAGAAGAAAUGACGGUACCUGAGUAAGAAGCACCGGCUAAAUACGUGUCAGCAGCCGCGGUAAUACGUAUGGUGCAAGCGUUAUCCGGAUUUACUGGGUGUAAAGGGAGCGCAGGCGGCACGGCAAGCCUGAUGUGAAAGCCCGCGGCCCAACCGCGGGACUGCAUUGGGAACUACCGGGCUGGAGUACCGGAGAGGUAGGGGGAAUGCCUAGUGUAGCGGUGAAAUGCGUAGAUAUUAGGAGGAACACCAGUGGCGAAGGCGGCUUACUGGACGGUGACUGACGCUGAGGCUCGAAAGCGUGGGGAGCAAACAGGAUUAGAUACCCCAGUAGUC